rnacentral:rRNA from 1 species
ACCGCCCGUCACAUCACGAAAGUGGGUGAUACUAGAAGUCGUUUCGCCAACCCGCAAGGGAGGUAGACGCCCAAGGUAUGACUCAUGAUUGGGGUG